AUGAGUCUUCGCUUAAAAGAGGCUGGGGUUAUGCUCUCCAGUUUCGCCCAAGGAUGGGGCCGCGGCCGAUCAGGUUGUUGGUGAGGUAAUGGCUCACCAAGCCUUUUACCGGUGCGGGCCGUGAGAGCGGGAGCCCGGAGAUGGGCACUGAGACAAGGGCCCAGGCCCUACGGGGCGCAGCAGUCGCGAAAACUUUGCAAUAAGCGAAAGCUUGACAGGGCUAUCCCGAGUGCCAUCCGCUGAGGAAGGCUUUUACCCAGUCUAGAACGCUGGGGGAAUAAGGAGAGGGCAAGUCUGGUGUCAGCCGCCGCGGUAAUACCAGCUCUCCGAGUGGUGUGGAUGUUUAUUGGGCCUAAAGCAUCCGUAGCUGGCUAGGUUAGUCCCCUGUUAAAUCCACCGAAUUAAUCGUUGGAUUGCGGGGGAUACUGCUUGGCUAGGGGACGAGAGAGGCAGACGGUAUUUCCGGGGUAGGGGUGAAAUCCUAUAAUCCCGGGAAGACCACCAGUGGCGAAGGCUGUCUGCUAGAACGCGCCCGACGGUGAGGGAUGAAAGCUGGGGGAGCGAACCGGAUUAGAUACCCGGGUAGUCCCAGCUGUAAACGAUGCAGACUAGGUGUUUGAACGGCCACGUGCCGUUCUAGUGCCGCAGGGAAGCUGUUA
rnacentral:rRNA from 1 species